GCAAGCUCGAUUUCUCUGGGGAAAGAUGAGAAGCUGGGCGAUAAAGAAGUAAGUAACUUGCCUUAAAGUUACAUAGUAUAAAAUUGCAGAGUUGGAAUUCAGAUAAAAUUUACCAGAUGGGAGAAAUCCAUUGGUGUUGCCUAGCUGGCCUGGUGGAAGAGAUCAGAGGAUGUGGACAAAGCAAGAAGAUAGCAAUCUGCAAGAGGGCUUUCACCAGGAACUAAACCUGCCUGUACCAUGAUCUUGGAUUUUCCAGCCUCCAGAACAGCUUCCAGUACUGUUUGUUGUUGAAGCCACCUGGUUUAUUGUAUUCUGUUGUAGAAACCAACCUAAGACAAGAAUAUUCUCCAAGCAUUUAUGCUCAAGGUUGCCUCCUUUGCGGGUUUCACAAGAGAAUUUAUAUGUGUAUGUCUCAAAGAAGAGACUUAGCAUGAUGCUUCUGAGGAGCAGAUGACCUUUCCGGACAAAGGACAAACAAGAGAAACUGAAGACAAAUUUCCAGGAGAUUCUCAGCCUCUAGCCAGGGUUCCCUAGGAAGGAAAAUUAUAACUUUUCAGUCUCCUGAAGAUGAAGCUCUGAAACACCAUUUCCGUAUUUAGCAUUCUGGGUGGCCAGAGGCAGAGAGUAGCAGCACUGAUGAGGAUAUAAUGAUGUAAGGCCCUGUUUGUAUAAAUAACUGUGGGAAAUCCCAAAGUUUACAAGUGGUGAUGACCACAGACUCCAGGUCCCUCAAGCCAGGUUGUGUGUACAAACCAGGAUCAAUCCUUGGAUUCAAAGGAAUGGAUAAUUGGAAAAUAACUUUAUUAAACUUUGUUUAAAUGUGCAUGCAGGAAAUAAAAUCUUAGAUUUUCUUUAGACAAAAAAAUACAUGAAUAUUCAAUCACGGUGAUUUCUAAUAAUUUCAGCAUUUUGUCUCAAUAGAUGGUGGAGUGAUUUUCUUUUUUCCA